rnacentral:rRNA from 1 species
CGGGACGGGUGAGUAAUGCUUGGGAAUCUAGCUUAUGGAGGGGGAUAACUACGGGAAACUGUAGCUAAUACCGCGUAAUAUCGAAAGAUUAAAGUGUAGGACCUUCGGGCCACAUGCCAUAAGAUGAGCCCAAGUGGGAUUAGGUAGUUGGUGAGGUAAAGGCUCACCAAGCCGACGAUCUCUAGCUGGUCUGAGAGGAUGACCAGCCACACUGGGACUGAGACACGGCCCAG